rnacentral:rRNA from 1 species
CGGGUGAGUAACGCGUGAGGAACCUGCCUCAAAGAGGGGGGAAACAGUUGGAAACGACUGCUAAUACCGCAUAAGCCCACGGCUCGGCAUCGAGCAGAGGGAAAAGGAGUGAUCCGCUUUGAGAUGGCCUCGCGUCCGAUUAGCUAGUUGGUGAGGUAACGGCCCACCAAGGCGACGAUCGGUAGCCGGACUGAGAGGUUGAACGGCCACAUUGGGACUGAGACACGGCCCAG